UGCCUGCCCAGUGACAUUAGUUAAACGGCCGCGGUAUCCUGACCGUGCAAAGGUAGCAUAAUCAUUUGUUCCUUAAUUAGGGACUUGUAUGAAUGGCCCCACGAGGGUUUAACUGUCUCUUACUUUCAAUCAGUGAAAUUGACCCUCCCGUGAAGAGGCGGGAAUAUAAAAAUAAGACGAGAAGACCCUAUGGAGCUUAAAUUAAUUUGCUCAACAAAAUUUAAAUUCAGCCCAACAGGAAUAAUUAUAAUUUAACUGAGCAAUAAAUUUUGGUUGGGGUGACCUCGGAGUAUAACAAAACCUCCGAGUGAUUACAACUAAGACAUACUUGUCAAAGUUACGUAACUUAUUGAUCCAAUCAUAUUGAUCAACGAAACAAGUUACCCUAGGGAUAACAGCGCAAUCCUAUUUAAGAGUUCAUAUCGACAAUAGGGUUUACGACCUCGAUGUUGGAUCAGGACACCCAAAUGGUGCAGCAGCUAUUAAAGGUUCGUUUGUUCAACG
rnacentral:rRNA from 1 species